UCCGGCAUGGUGUAGUGGUUAACAUACUCCGCUUUCAAGCCGGUCAAAUGGUCUGAGGUUCCGGAGAGCUCCGAGUUCGAUUCUCGGUGUCGGAA
rfam:Colletotrichum gloeosporioides Cg-14 contig02418, whole genome shotgun sequence.